CCUACGGGAGGCAGCAGUGGGGAAUAUUGGACAAUGGGCGAAAGCCUGAUCCAGCAAUGCCGCGUGAGUGAUGAAGGCCUUAGGGUUGUAAAGCUCUUUUACCAGGGAUGAUAAUGACAGUACCUGGAGAAUAAGCUCCGGCUAACUCCGUGCCAGCAGCCGCGGUAAUACGGAGGGAGCUAGCGUUGUUCGGAAUUACUGGGCGUAAAGCGUACGUAGGCGGUUAUUCAAGUCAGAGGUGAAAGCCUGGAGCUCAACUCCAGAACUGCCUUUGAAACUAGAUAGCUAGAAUCACGGAGAGGUUAGUGGAAUUCCGAGUGUAGAGGUGAAAUUCGUAGAUAUUCGGAAGAACACCAGUGGCGAAGGCGACUAACUGGACGUGUAUUGACGCUGAGGUACGAAAGCGUGGGGAGCAAACAGGAUUAGAUACCCUGGUAGUCCACGCCGUAAACGAUGAUAACUAGCUGUUCGGUCUCUACGAGACUGAGUGGCGCAGCUACGACAUUAAGUUAAUUACCGUCCGUCGGGUAGGUACGGUCGGCGAAGAAGUUAAAACGUAACUAAAGUAAGUAAGUUAGACGUGUUAGAGAGCGACGACGACGACGACGGAGGAGGAG
rnacentral:rRNA from 1 species